rnacentral:rRNA from 1 species
GUGGGGAAUUUUGGACAAUGGGCGAAAGCCUGAUCCAGCCAUGCCGCGUGCAGGAUGAAGGCCUUCGGGUUGUAAACUGCUUUUGUACGGAACGAAAAGACUCCUUCUAAUAAAGGGGGUCCAUGACGGUACCGUAAGAAUAAGCACCGGCUAACUACGUGCCAGCAGCCGCGGUAAUACGUAGGGUGCAAGCGUUAAUCGGAAUUACUGGGCGUAAAGCGUGCGCAGGCGGUUAUAUAAGACAGAUGUGAAAUCACCGGGCUCAACCUGGGAACUGCAUUUGUGACGGUAUAGCUAGAGUGCGGUAGAGGGGGAUGGAAUUCCGCGUGUAGCAGUGAAAUGCGUAGAUAUGCGGAGGAACACCGAUGGCGAAGGCAAUCCCCUGGACCUGUACUGACGCUCAUGCACAAAAGCGUGGGGAGCAAACAGGAUUAGAUACCCGAGUAGUCC